rnacentral:rRNA from 1 species
ACGAACGCUGGCGGCGUGCUUAACACAUGCAAGUCGCACGGAAAGGCCCUGCUUGCAGGGUACUCGAGUGGCGAACGGGUGAGUAACACGUGGGUGAUCUGCCCUGCACUUCGGGAUAAGCCUGGGAAACUGGGUCUAAUACCGGAUAGGAGCCAUUUUUAGUGUGAUGGUUGGAAAGUUUUUUCGGCGUAGGAUGAGCUCGCGGCCUAUCAGCUUGUUGGUGGGGUAAUGGCCUACCAAGGCGGCGACGGGUAGCCGGCCUGAGAGGGUGGACGGCCACAUUGGGACUGAGAUACGGCCCAGACUCCUACGGGAGGCAGCAGUGGGGAAUAUUGCACAAUGGGCGCAAGCCUGAUGCAGCGACGCCGCGUGGGGGAUGACGGCCUUCGGGUUGUAAACUCCUUUCGCUAGGGACGAAGCUUUUUGUGACGGUACCUAGAUAAGAAGCACCGGCUAACUACGUG